UACGUAGGGGGCAAGCGUUGUCCGGAAUCAUUGGGCGUAAAGCGCGUGUAGGCGGCCCGGUAAGUCCGCUGUGAAAGUCGGGGGCUCAACCCUCGAAUGCCGGUGGAUACUGUCGGGCUAGAGUGCGGGAGAGGCGAGUGGAAUUCCUGGUGUAGCGGUGAAAUGCGCAGAUAUCUGGAGGAACACCGGUGGCGAAGGCGGCAUCCUGGACCAAUAUUGACGCUGAGGAGCGAAAGCCAGGGGAGCAAACGGG
rnacentral:rRNA from 1 species